UCAUUUAGUUCAGGAGAAAAGGAAGGGUGAUUAUUCUGUUGUAUCAUGAACAAAAGGAACUGUCUUCACAGAAUUCAAGGCUCCGAGCUCAGUAAUGAUGCACAGACUUCUAUGCAUGAAACCAAACAGGUCAGACCAAGGUCUUGGGAUCCUUUCUCAUCAGUGAUGGAGGAAUCAAGGACAGGAUGUGGCUCAAGCUUCCCGGCAAAACUGAGGAUUGAUUAAGAGCUAGAACAUGACUUAGACUGGAUGUUGGGAAUGAGGAAAGACAGGAAGAGCUGGAGAAAGGGCUCUCCUGCCGCUGCUGCUCCUUGACAGUCUGCUGCCAUAGAUAACUGGCUGUAUACUUGGAGAACUUGACUUCAACAAUUAGUCUUGAUGACUCCAGUUUACUUACCAUCCUGAAUUAUCCUGAGGCAAUGACAUACAGCACAAUGUGCUGGGUGCAAGAGGGUAAGCCAUUUUCUGCUGACCACCUCUCUUCCAAGCUGUGAUACCUUCAUAAAACUCCUUCGUGCUUUGUAUUGCUGCUAGUCACACUGUAGGGUGAAGUGCCAAAAUCUGCUGUAGGGAGUGACAUCAAGAGCAGCAAGAUCUACUCCAGCAUUCACCUAUGCAGGACAGUGUUCCCUGCUUCCCAGAGCAGCUCUGUGUUUGCUAUCAGCAUCUAGUGGGAGGAAAUGCCAGCUCUGAGUUCAACUGUAGAGCAAUAAAUCACACAGUGUACCUCAGCUUUAGUUGUUUCAUCUCUGCUCACGGCAAGCUCUGCUCCCAGCUAAUUGUCCAGGGGAGCUUAUUUCAACAUUUCUGGCAUUGACUUUUUUAGGAUCAUCUGUUCAUUAGCCUCUGAAUUUCUUUAGGUAAAAUCAGAGGAGCGCUUGACUAGGACCGCUGAGUUCAUCCAGUUCAUAUGGCUACAGCAGGUGUGGUGUGAAUCUGCCCCAGCAGAACAACCUGUCCCAGGGCAUGGACUCUAGCACUCAUCUGACUUGUCCAGUCCAGUUGUCUCAUGCCAAGAAAACAGAAGAGACAACGCCCAUGCCAUCUAGAGAAGAGCACAGGCUGAUGACAAUACCUGAUAGGUAGCAUGAAGGAGACCACCAUGUUCUGGUGGAAGAGAACCAAGCCUGAACAGCAUUAUUUCGUUCCAAGGCUAGAGAAUAUUUGUUAGUAGAACGGAUGAGGCUAUAGAGCCCAGAUAGAUUUGUAAAAAUACACUAAAGAAAUAUCACAGCUUCCCAGAAAGCUAUAAGAAACCAAAAACCUUCAACGGAAAAGUUUGAAAGCCACAAGGACUUGGAAGUCAUAUAACAAGAUGGCUGGAAGAAUCCAGAACAAGCACUUAUGUAGGAAUUAGAUCCUGCCUGAGAGCCAAGAAUAUGUGCUACGGUCAGAAGGUGCAGCUGUGGUUACCACCUGAAUUAGCACUAGGCCAUGUGGCUCAGACACCAGGAGCUCGGUAGCCACAUCACCUGGAUGAUCCAACAUCCUCAGGAACUUCCCAUUUCAGUGCACUAUGGGAGACAGCAGGAGACAGCAGCUGGGACAGGACCUAGUAAGGAACUGGAGAGACCAAUGGAUGUGCAAGGGACCAUGAGGCAACCAGACAAUGGGGGAUGAAGAAAGCAGGUAGAAGUAGCACACACACACUGAGUCCCCCAUGAGCUGUUAAUCCUCACCUAAAGUGCUUGUUCUUUCUAUACCCCAGCCUCCAAAAUGUCGUACCAAUAGAUCUGGACAGCCCAUUGGAACAGGCUGCCCGGGGAGGUGGUGGAGUCACCAUCCCUGGAGGUGUUUGAUAACCAUGGAGAUGUGACACUGAGGUGUUGCAGAUGAGGAACUGAACAACAAGAAGGAACAAGGUGAUUCUGGCAGGUUUCCUAAUGACUGAGGAAACAUCACUGCAACUUGGUGAACUGAGAAAUGAGGAGUGAGGGGGUGGAAAGGCUUGCUGUUUUCAGCUUUUGUCAUGAUUUUCUUUUUCGUUAAAGAUGUAUUUGAACAGCUCUCGGCAGGAGGCUGGAGCCAGGCUUUCAUUCUACCAUGCAGCUUACAGUGUCUUCACAAAUCCAUGCAGUCCCAAAAUACUUGCAAUCAUAAUUCAGCUCCAGGGCACUUAUUUAUUUACUGCAUUAUUGUGCAUCACUACGUGCCCUCAAGGCUCUACCUCUGAAAGGAAGAGGCACAGAAAGGAGCAGAGAAUGAAUGAGAUAAUAAUAAUUUCCUGAUUUAUGAAGGGCUGUUUUUUUUCUGUUGUUUUUGUUUAGUGCAUGUGUUUGUAUUUUGUUGUCAUUGUUUUGGUUUGCUUUUCUUGUGGAGAAGGCCCCUGUCCAAUAAAUCAAAUUCCUUAAGGAAUUUAAAGAAA